rnacentral:rRNA from 1 species
AUUGAACGCUGGCGGCAGGCCUAACACAUGCAAGUCGAACGAGUGGCGGACGGGUGAGUAAUGUCUGGGAAACUGCCUGAUGGAGGGGGAUAACUACUGGAAACGGUCGCUAAUACCGCCUACCCUCAGAUUUGCCCAGAUGGGAUUCGCUAGUUUGUGGGGUAACGGCUCACCUAGGAGGUGAUCCCUAGCUGGUCUGAGAGGAUGACCAGCAAAACGGGAACUGAGACACGGUCCAGACUCCUACGGGAGGCAGCAGUGGGGAAUAUUGCACAAGGGGCGCAAGCCGGAUGCAGCCAGGCCGCGGGUAUGAAGAAGGCCUUCGGGUUGUAAAGUACUUUAAGCGGGGAGGCGUUACCCGAAGAAGAAGCAACGGCUAACUCCGUGCCAGCAGCCGCGGUAAUAC